rnacentral:misc_RNA from 1 species
UACGUAGGGUGCGAGCGUUGUCCGGAAUUAUUGGGCGUAAAGAGCUUGUAGGCGGUUUGUCGCGUCUGCUGUGAAAGCCCGGGGCUUAACCCUGGGUCUGCAGUGGGUACGGGCAGGCUAGAGUGUGGUAGGGGAGACUGGAAUUCCUGGUGUAGCGGUGGAAUGCGCAGAUAUCAGGAGGAACACCGAUGGCGAAGGCACGUCUCUGGGCCACUACUGACGCUGAGAAGCGAAAGCGUGGGGAGCAAACAGG